GACGAACGCUGGCGGCGUGCUUAACACAUGCAAGUCGAACGGAAAGGCCCUGCUUUUGUGGGGUGCUCGAGUGGCGAACGGGUGAGUAACACGUGAGUAACCUGCCCUUGACUUUGGGAUAACUUCAGGAAACUGGGGCUAAUACCGGAUAGGAGCUCCUGCUGCAUGGUGGGGGUUGGAAAGUUUCGGCGGUUGGGGAUGGACUCGCGGCUUAUCAGCUUGUUGGUGGGGUAGUGGCUUACCAAGGCUUUGACGGGUAGCCGGCCUGAGAGGGUGACCGGCCACAUUGGGACUGAGGUACGGCCCAGACUCCUACCGGAGGCAACAGUGGGGAAUAUUGCACAAUGGGCGGAAGCCUGAUACAGCAACGCCGCGUGCGGGAUGACGGCCUUCGGGUUGUAAACCGCUUUCGCCUGUGACGAAGCGUGAGUGACGGUAAUGGGUAAAGAAGCACCGGCUAACUACGUG
rnacentral:rRNA from 1 species